GGGAUGACUAGUGGCAGAGUGAGGGAAGGAAUGGAUGACUGGUGACAGAGAGAGGGGGUGACUAGUGACAGAGUGAGGGAGGGGGUGACACAGUGAAAGAGUGAAGGAGGUGGUGACUGUCACUAGUCACCCCAUCCCUCCCUCUGUCACUAAUCACAACCUCCCUCACUCUGUCACUAGUCACCCCUUCCCUCCCUCUCUCUGUCACUAGUCACCCCCUCCCUCACUCUGUCACUAGUCACCCCC
rnacentral:sRNA from 1 species